rnacentral:rRNA from 1 species
AAUCAACGCUGGCGGCGUGCCUAACACAUGCAAGUCGCACGAGAAAGGGCCUUCGGAUCUGAGUAAAGUGGCGCACGGGUGAGUAACACGUGAAUUAUCUACCUUCGAGUGGGGAAUAACUUCGGGAAACCGAGGCUAAUACCGCAUAUAUCUACGGAUCAAAGCAGUAAUGCGCUUGAAGAGGAGUUCGCGGCAGAUUAGUUAGUUGGCGGGGUAAUGGCCCACCAAGACGAUGAUCUGUAUCCGGCCUGAGAGGGCGCAUGGACACACUGGAACUGAAACACGGUCCAGACUCCUACGGGAGGCAGCAGUGGGGAAUUUUGCGCAAUGGGGGAAACCCUGACGCAGCAACGCCGCGUGGAGGAUGAAGCCUCUUGGGACGUAAACUCCUUUCGAUAGGGAAGAUUAUGACGGUACCUAUAGAAGAAGCCCCGGCUAACUUCGUGCCAGCCGCCGCGGUAA